rnacentral:rRNA from 1 species
UACGUAGGUGGCGAGCGUUGUCCGGAUUUAUUGGGCGUAAAGCGCGCGCAGGCGGUUCGCUCCGUCCGGUGUGAAAUCUCCCGGCUCACCUGGGAGGGGGCAAUGGAUACUGGCAAGCUAGAGUGCGGUAGAGGGUAGUGGAAUUCCCGGUGUAGCGGUGAAAUGCGUAGAGAUCGGGAGGAACACCAGUGGCGAAGGCGGCUACCUGGACCAGCACUGACACUGAGGCACGAAAGCGUGGGGAGCAAACAGG